rnacentral:rRNA from 1 species
CAAGUCGAGCGAGAAAGUGGGGGCAACUCCAUGAGUACAGCGGCGACCGGGUGAGUAACACGUGACUAACCUACCCUUGAGUGGGGAAUAACUCCGGGAAACCGGAGCUAAUACCGCAUAACACCGCAAGGUCAAAGGAGCAAUUCGCUUAAGGAGGGGGUCGCGGUUGAUUAGCUAGUUGGUGGGGUAAUGGCCCACCAAGGCGAUGAUCAAUAGCCGGCCUGAGAGGGCGCACGGCCACACUGGAACUGAAACGCGGUCCAGACUCCUACGGGAGGCAGCAGUGGGGAAUUUUGCGCAAUGGGGGAAACCCUGACGCAGCAACGCCGCGUGAAGGAUGAAGGUCUUUGGAUUGUAAACUUCUUUCGUUCGGGACGAUUAUGACGGUACCGGAAGAAGAAGCCCCGGCUAACUUCGUGCCAGCAGCCGCGGUAAUACGAAGGGGGCAAGCGUUGUUCGGAAUUAUUGGGCGUAAAGGGCGCGUAGGCGAUGCGGUAAGAGUGUUGUGAAAUCCUCGGGCUCAACUCGAGGCCUGCAACGCUGACUGCCGUGCUGGAGUGUGGGAGAGGUGCGUGGAAUUCCCGGUGUAGCGGUGAAAUGCGUAGAUAUCGGGAGGAACACCUGUGGCGAAAGCGGCGCACUGGACCACAACUGACGCUGAGGCGCGAAAGCUAGGGGGGCAAACAGGAUUAGAUACCCUGGUAGUCCUAGCCCUAAACGAUGAAUGCUUGGUGUGAUCGGUACCCAAUCCGAUCGUUGCCGCAGCUAACGCGAUAAGCAUUCCGCCUUGGGGAGUACGGUCGCAAGACUGAAACUCAAAGGA